CAUGCCAUAGCCGGGGAGCAGGAGUCACGAGCAGUUAGAGAGGAGGUUAUAAAAGGGGCUGCUGGUGCGGCAGUUGGAAAAGAGCCGGUAGCCUGUGAAACAGUGAGGAGCAGUGAUGGAGGACAGGGGGAUCUCUUACCAGUAAAGGAGGUGACCCCCGUCGAAAUCAGUUCGGUGAAGUGUGGGAAUCGCUGACACCUGGAGCUGCCGCGGUGGUAGACGCAUGGGUGAGGAGAGACUACAGUCCAGGAUGGACAGCGCCUUACCUCUCUCUGCCAGCACUGAUUGCAUAGGAGGCCAGGAGAGUGAAAGUGUGGAGGGCUGGAGCACUGGUCAGGCAAGUCGAUCCUCCAAAUUCAGCGGCUGGUAGAAGUAGGGACAGCCUCCCUGAGGAAUCGACGGGGCUAGGCUACAGCACAGACCCAUAGACCCAAAUUCGGUGUGGUAUGACUGGCUCUCUCCAUACGACUUCCAGCAACACCAGGAAAAAUGGAUCCUCAAGGGCCAGAAAGUCGAUACAAACUAAUUCCAUGGGACCCGUACUGGUAAUGUUCACUAACGGAGCGGACUUCUCAGGCAAUUUUUUUCGAACUAUACAAUUUCCACACGUUUUACAGUAUUGAGCUAUUUCUUUAUUCAUGAAAGGCCAAUAUAAUCUUUCAGAGACCAAUCACUGGGUUUUAUCGUACCCCAAGUGUCCAUGCCCAUCGUGUAGGGCUUGUAAUACCAUUAAUUUGUACUUUUCUGGCAGAACCAAUUGCAUCUCAGCAGUGCCUCCAUAAAUGUAACCCUCUUUCCACACUAAUCUAUUGAUUUAUUACCCUAAAUGUGCCUCCACCCAAGCUAUGAGAUUAUUUUGGUUGGGCUUGCUUGGGUAAGCCCUAUCCCCUAAUAAGGUGAUUCUUCAAUAUAUAUUCAUGUGCAUGUAAAUACAACUUCCCUUUGACUUUAAUA